GAUGAACGCUGGCGGCGUGCCUAAUACAUGCGAGUCGAGCGAACGGACGAGAAGCUUGCUUCUCUGAUGUUAGCGGCGGACGGGUGAGUAACACGUGGAUAACCUACCUACAAGACUGGGAUAACUUCGGGAAACCGGAGCUAAUACCGGAUAAUAUUUUGAACCGCAUGGUUCAAAAGUGAAAGGCGGUCUUGCUGUCACUUAUAGAUGGAUCCGCGCUGCAUUAGCUAGUUGGUAAGGUAACGGCUUACCAAGGCAACGAUGCAUAGCCGACCUGAGAGGGUGAUCGGCCACACUGGAACUGAGACACGGUCCAGACUCCUACGGGAGGCAGCAGUAGGGAAUCUUCCGCAAUGGGCGAAAGCCUGACGGAGCAACGCCGCGUGAGUGAUGAAGGUCUUCGGAUCGUAAAACUCUGUUAUUAGGGAAGAACAUAUGUGUAAGUAACUGUGCACAUCUUGACGGUACCUAAUCAGAAAGCCACGGCUAACUACGUG
rnacentral:rRNA from 1 species